GACGAACGCUGGCGGCGUGCCUGACACAUGCAAGUCGGACGGUUCUUGUAUCUUCAAGCUUGCUUGCAGGUGCAAGGAUAGUGGCGCACGGGUGAGUAACGCGUGGGAACGUGCCCUUCAGUACGGGACAACGUCGGGAAACUGACGCUAAUACCGUAUAAUAUCUCCGGAUCAAAGAUUUAUCGCUGAAGGAUCGGCCCGCGUCUGAUUAGUUUGUUGGUGAGGUAACGGCUCACCAAGACUACGAUCAGUAGCUGGUCUGAGAGGAUGAUCAGCCACACUGGGACUGAGACACGGCCCAGACUCCUACGGGAGGCAGCAGUUAGGAAUAUUGGACAAUGGGGGAAACCCUGAUCCAGCCAUGCCGCGUGUGUGAUGAAGGCCUUAGGGGUUGUAAAGCACUUUCGUUGGGGUAUGAUAAUGACCGUACCCAAAGAAGAAGCCACGGCUAAAUUCGUG
rnacentral:rRNA from 1 species